CCGAGGAGGCGGGAGCAGUUCAGCGGGACUGUGGCCGGACGACAGGCAGCAGACGAUGACUACGGCAGACGACACCGCACAGCUCUAUGAAAGCAAGAGUGCAGCACGCGAGCAAGAGGAGCAGCAACAGCAGCUCACAGCCUCGCUCAUGGCACAGAUACUUGAUCAAAAGAAAAUGGAGUUGCUGAAGAGUCCUACAAUACGGCAGUUCAUUGAACUCAAGCAGCAGCAGAUGAAGCCAUGACCAGAAAGCGUCGCG
rnacentral:lncRNA from 1 species